AGUGAACGCUGGCGGUAGGCCCAACACAUGCAAGUCGAACGGCAGCACAGUAAGAGCUUGCUCUUACGGGUGGCGAGUGGCGGACGGGUGAGGAAUACAUCGGAAUCUACUUUUUCGUGGGGGAUAACGUAGGGAAACUUACGCUAAUACCGCAUACGACCUACGGGUGAAAGCAGGGGAUCUUCGGACCUUGCGCGAUUGAAUGAGCCGAUGUCGGAUUAGCUAGUUGGCGGGGUAAAGGCCCACCAAGGCGACGAUCCGUAGCUGGUCUGAGAGGAUGAUCAGCCACACUGGAACUGAGACACGGUCCAGACUCCUACGGGAGGCAGCAGUGGGGAAUAUUGGACAAUGGGCGCAAGCCUGAUCCAGCCAUACCGCGUGGGUGAAGAAGGCCUUCGGGUUGUAAAGCCCUGUUGUUGGGAAAGAAAAGCAGCAGGUUAAUACCCCGCUGUUCUGACGGUACCCAAAGAAUAAGCACCGGCUAACUUCGUG
rnacentral:rRNA from 1 species